GCUGAUGACAAGACCCUUAUUAAGGAUUACAAGCUCCUCAAGAAAAUCAGCCAAGGAAGCUUCACCAGGGUAAAGUUGGGCCGGAACAUUCUCACAGGGACCCAGGUGGCUGUGAAUGUCAUCUUGAAAGGUCAGCAGAGAUCCUCCAGCCUCCAGAGUGUACAGUGAGAGAUCAGCAUUAUGAAGGCUCUAAAUCAUCCCAAUGUCAUCAAGCUCUUUCAAGUGAUCAACACCAUGGACACCUUGUAUUUAGUCCUGGAGUCCAAUGGCAGUGGAGAGCCCUUUGACUAUAUCCUAGAACAUGGCCCAUGAAGGAGAAGAGGCCCAAAGCAAGUUCAGGCAAAUUAUAUCUGCUGUACAAUACUGCCACCAAAAGAAAAUCAUCCACAGGGACCCGAAGCCCUAGAACUUCCUUCUACAUGCCAACUACAACAUAAAAAUAGUUGACUUUGGCUUAGGCACAACAUUCAGUGAUGACCAGAAGCUGGGCACCUUUUUGGAGACUCCAUCUUGAGCUGUUCCAGAACUCUACCCCAGUCAAAAAUAUGAUGGCCUCAUGGUGGACAUGUGAAGCUUGGACAUAAUUCUAUGCACCAUGGUCGCCAGGGUUCUGACAUUUGUCAAACAGACCCUUGAGCUAAAU
rnacentral:lncRNA from 1 species